GUCUACGACCGUGCCACCCUGAACAAGCCCCAUCCCAUCUGAUCUCGGAAGCUAAAGCAGGGUCCGGCCUGGUUAGUACUUGGGAUGGGAGACAACCUAGGGAGACCAGAUGCUGUAGGCG
rnacentral:rRNA from 1 species